rnacentral:rRNA from 1 species
AUUGAACGCUGGCGGCAGGCUUAACACAUGCAAGUCGAACGAGUGGCGGACGGGUGAGUAAUGUCUGGGAACCUGCCCGAUGGCGGGGGAUAACUACUGGAAACGGUAGCUAAUACCGCAUACUAUUAGAUGUGCCCAGAUUGGAUUAGCUAGUUGGUGGGGUAACGGCUCACCAAGGCGACGAUCCCUAGCUGGUUUGAGAGGAUGACCAGCCACACUGGAACUGAGACACGGCCCAGACUCCUACGGGAGGCAGCAGUGGGGAAUAUUGGACAAUGGGGGAAAGCCUGAUCCAGCCAUGCCGCGUGUAUGAAGAAGGCCUUCGGGUUGUAAAGUACUUUCGGCAGGGAGGCGUGACCUGCAGAAGAAGCACCGGCUAACUACGUGCCAGCAGCCGCGGUAAUAC